rnacentral:lncRNA from 1 species
GGAUGAUCAACAGACAGUAUGGACACCAUGUUAGUUUUCAGCCAAAAGCUACAGUCCAGGAAGACUGGAGAGAGGAUACUGGCUGGGCCAGACUUCCCUGGGGCAAAUGGACAUAACUUGGGGUCCCCAAGCAGGAUAGUCUAUUGCUGAGCAUCCCCCCAAAGACACCCACUGCUUGCAUGCCCUGGGCUGCACCUAAAUGCCUGCAGGAGAGCCAGCCCAUAGCUAGAGCUCCUCAUCACACACUCCACUGUCCCAAUCCAGCAGUUCAGGUGCAGGCUGCCCAACCAGAGAACUAGGGACUCUUCAGUGUGCCCCCAAGUUCCUGCUUCCCUUUUCCUACAGAAAUCUCUCUACUAACAGUCAACAUCAAUGCCAUCUUGGAUGUUCUAGCUCAGUAAGGAGCUUCUUGAUGAAGGUGAAAGAGACUUUAUUUUCUUAGGCUCUAAAAUCAGUGGGGAUGGCGACUGCAGACAUGAAAUUAAAAGAUGCUUGCUCCUUGGAAGAAAAGCUAUGACCAACCUAGACACCACCGAAGAAUUGAUGCUUUCGAAAUGUGGUGCUGGAGAAGACUCCUGAGAGUCCCUUGGACUGCAAGGAGAUGAAACCAGUCAAUCUUAAAGGAAAUCAAUCCUGAAUAUUCAUUUGAAGAACUGAUGCUGAAAUUGAAGCUCCAAUACUUCAGCCACCUGAUAUGAAGAGCUGACUCAUUGGAAAAGACCCUGAUGCUGGGAAAGAUUAAAGGCAGGAGGAGAAGGGGACAAUAGAGGAUGAGACGGUUGGAUGGCAUCACCGACUCGAUGGACAUGAGUUUGAGCAAACUCCGGGAGAUGGUAAUGGACAGGGAAGCCUGGCGUGCUGCAGUCCAUGGGGUCACAAAGAGUUGGACACGACUGAGCGACUGAACACCUGGCACCUCACUUGCCUCACCCUCACCCUGGCCCUGGGUGGUAAACAAGAGCCCUCAGCUCACAGUCUACACCGGGAGGCUGACAACAAACCAGGAAUCAGAGCAAACAAGCUGCAAAGGGUUACAGAGCCAGAGAACAGAGCUGCCUCCCUGCCCAGGGCCGGGAAAGUCUGGUGCAUUUUGAAGAGACCCGUCAAACUCCCCAUUUUGCUUCAAAUACGCAGGGAGUGGGGAAUGUGACUUUCCAUGGACCCUACCCCUCCUCAGAGUCCCUCAUUCUGGCCUGGCCUCUAUCUUCCCCACUGUGGUUUAGCAACUGAAGCCCAUCAUGUUCCCACUGCUUUCCCCAACCUAGAUUGGGGCUGUCUCCUGAUACGUGUAGCCCCUAAAAAUCUGCUAAUGUAGGAGGGGACUUGUGAUCUGGUUCCUGAGUGAGGUGGACUUGUCAGCUGAAGAAAUGGGAAGAGCUCUUUAAAGAGAGGAAAGGGAAUAUGCAGAGGACAGAGUGUGAUGGCACAACCAGGAUCAGUCUGGAGGAGGCUUGGCAAGGGUG